UGCUGAUAAAAUGAAACUGAAGAGUUUCAGUUACAGAAGCUUCAAGUAUGCAGAUUCUGGAGGUAAAAAUUUGGAAUACAUGGGAUAACUGUAUGAGCUAGGAAAUGUAAUGUGUGGGCUGGUGUGGUGUGGUCAAAUGGUAGAGCGUUCAACUGCUAUCCUGAAAGUCUUGAGUUUGGAUCCCAUGUUGAGUCCAUACGACGUCCCUGAGCCCCCCACCUCUUGACUUAUGGUAGGGAAAGAAAAGGCAGCUGCCCCAUGGACUAGGCUCAAAAGGGUACUUUAAUUUACUUUUUAGCGCAAUUUCCAUUCUGGAGAAUUGCGUUUAUUAACUCGUCUUUUCUGGGAAUGAAUGGAUGGAUGGAUGUGUGUCCGCAGCUUUAAGUCGUAUCUCCUCCUCAACGAAGCAAUAUCGAGGACUAGUUCCAAAAGCAAUUAUGUUAAGCAAGUUACGAGGAUGAACAUAGGCCAUAAAAAUUACGGGUUUCUUUCAUGGAUUUCCCGGAAAAGCCAAAAAACCUCGAAAAAAUGUAGUUUUUGGCCCAUAACUCGGCAACCAGACCACUUAGCGACUUGAAACAUGUACCAAUCGAUUCCUGCCAUAAUUUAGAACAAUAUUGCCGAAGAAAGUUUUCAAAAAUAUCCUUUCGUUUGGUCACAAAAAAAUUUUUGAAUUAAUUAAAAUUUGGACCGAAUUAGUAGGCAUUUUAUGCAACCACACCACACGCGUCAUCACGUUCAAUAGCUGCGCCAUCACGUUCAAUGGCUGCGACGUCACGUUCGGUAGCUGGGCGCGCAAUGGUUUUUAGUCAUGUUACUCUAUUGUAAAUAAAACAUGUAAAAUACUGAAAAAAAAAUUAAUAAAAAACGUUUUAAUAACUAACCAAUGGUUUUACUAACCCUGCUCUUGAUUUACGCUACGACAGAGCUAUUUUUAGAUAACACAAGGAAAUUGCGCUAAAAUUGUCACUAGACUUUUUUUAAUUACUUGUUUACAGAAGUAUUGCAGCUUAUUACAUAUGUUCUAGAUAAUCCUUUAUGAUAGGAAUAAUACACCACAAGUAGUAUAAUUAAAGAUUUAAUUUAUAGAGACUAAGGCAACGAAUACAAGCUAGCAUGGAAACUUUUGGGUCUCUCAACAUAGCCUUCUGGCAUUAUUUGGUGGCAUUAUUUUGGUGAGAAUACAGCCCCCACAAAUGCAGUAAUUAAAGCAUUUCAUCUACCCUACUGAACAACAAGAUUUCAAAGGGUAAUUUUCUUUCUAUUUUAACAGAGCACAAUUUAAUUAGUAAAUAAAAUACUAACCACAAGGGACAUUACUUUACCACAUUCAUCUCAGAUAAUUGUAUUUCAUAAUAAUCUUCCGAUUCUCAUAAAGCUUAUUCUAAGAAAUUUUCGCCCCUUCAGGUUUUCUCAAAACAAAAAAUAAAUCAAACAAGCAGUUUUGCCAAAAAAUUCUUUAUUUCUAAAGCCCUAUUACACUGGAAGUGCAAUCCCUCUUACUGUUAUAUAAGAAUAUACGAGAAGUUUAAAGCAAAUUACUCUUGCUUUAUUGAAAUUAUUUUUACGGCAUUUAAAAGUGUGUUUUUUUAUUACGAUUUAAUGAAAAAUGAUGAGUUCUUUUCAGGUUAAUACGAAUAAACAAUGAAGAUGAACAAUGAAGGUAUGAAAAAGCCAGAGAUGAAGUCAACAUGAUAUAUAAAGACGUUUGAGAUUGACACAAAAAUAAAACUGCAGCCAAAAAAUGAUAAAAAAAGAAGAAGCAACUAGCAACUACCAUAGUGGUACAAGAUACAGGAAUUCAUCAAAGAAAAAGGCAUUAGCAAUUGAGUACAAAGAGAUGGAUUCUAACAAUGGUUGACAAACACACACAGAAUAUGGCACCUUGAAAACUGGUAUAAUAAAUAAUUUAGCAUUGCCAUAAAUCAUCUACAACUAUAUUGUUUAGAACACAUAGGCCAUAGUAAAGUCCACCAUGUCAAUUAUGUCAUUCCUGCCAUUUAGAGUAAUAGUGCAGGACAAAAGAUGCUACUUUAGAAGAGGAGACAUGACAAUUUCACACUCACCAAAAUAUCACUCUAACCCAAAUUAUCAAUCCAACCCAAAUUAUCACCCUAACCUCAAUGAUCAAUCCAACCCAAAUUAUCACCCUAACCCCAAUGACCACUCUAACCCAAAGUAUCACCCUAACCCAAAUUAUCACCCUAACCCAUAUUAUCACUGGGUGCUUUCCAGAAGUCACUACCAGUGUUUCUC